ACACUCCUGCGGGAGGCAGCAGUGGGGAAUAUUGCACAAUGGGCGCAAGCCUGAUGCAGCCAUGCCGCGUGUAUGAAGAAGGCCUUCGGGUUGUAAAGUACUUUCAGCGGGGAGGAAGGCAAUACGGUUAAUAACCGUGUUGAUUGACGUUACCCGCAGAAGAAGCACCGGCUAACUCCGUGCCAGCAGCCGCGGUAAUACGGAGGGUGCAAGCGUUAAUCGGAAUUACUGGGCGUAAAGCGCACGCAGGCGGUCUGUCAAGUCGGAUGUGAAAUCCCCGGGCUCAACCUGGGAACUGCAUUCGAAACUGGCAGGCUUGAGUCUUGUAGAGGGGGGUAGAAUUCCAGGUGUAGCGGUGAAAUGCGUAGAGAUCUGGAGGAAUACCGGUGGCGAAGGCGGCCCCCUGGACAAAGACUGACGCUCAGGUGCGAAAGCGUGGGGAGCAAACAGGAUUAGAUACCCCAGUAGUCCCAUGAU
rnacentral:rRNA from 1 species